rnacentral:misc_RNA from 1 species
GAUGAGAACGUAGCGAAAUGCGAUACUUGGUGUGAAUUGCAGAAUCCCGUGAACCGUCGAGUCUUUGAACGCAAGUUGCGCCCGAAGCCAUCAGGUUGAGGGCACGUCUGCCUGGGCGUCACAUAUCGUUGCCCAAUGCCUAUUGCAGUGCAAUAGGAAUUUCUAGGGCGAAUGAUGGCUUCCCGUGAGCGUUGUUGCCUCGCGGUUGGUUGAAAAUCGAGUCCUUGGUAGGGUGUGCCAUGGUAGAUGGUGGUCGAGUUAGAACGAUACCGAUCAUGUGCAUGCUCCCCAAAAUAUGGCCUCUAUGACCCACACGCGUCUUUUGACGCUCAUGACGAGACCUCAGGUCAGGCGGGGCUACCCGCUGAAUUUAAGCAUAUCAAUAAGCGGAGGA